AUGGCCACAUCACAUUGAAACAUUGGUUCCCAUAUGAUCACCGAAGUUAAGCAAUGUCAAGCCUAGCCAGUAUCUAGAUGGGUGACCAUUUAGAAAUACCAGGUGUUGUAAG